rnacentral:rRNA from 1 species
UAAGGAAUAUUGGUCAAUGGACGCAAGUCUGAACCAGCCAUGCCGCGUGGAGGAUGAAGGUCCUCUGGAUUGUAAACUUCUUUUAUCUGGGACGAAACACUUCUUUUCUAAGAGGCCUGACGGCACCAGAUGAAUAAGCACCGGCUAACUCCGUGCCAGCAGCCGCGGUAAUACGGAGGGUGCAAGCGUUAUCCGGAUUCACUGGGUUUAAAGGGUGCGUAGGUGGGUAUGUAAGUCAGUGGUGAAAUCCCCGAGCUUAACUUGGGAACUGCCAUUGAUACUAUAUAUCUUGAAUACCGUAGAGGUAAGCGGAAUAUGUCAUGUAGCGGUGAAAUGCUUAGAUAUGACAUGGAACACCAAUUGCGAAGGCAGCUUACUAUGCGGUGAUUGACACUGAGGCACGAAAGCGUGGGUAGCAAACA